GCUGCUAACCCAUUGCGUAUUUCUGGGUCCAGGCCCUCGCCGUCUCCUCAUAACGUGGCCUCUGGCUCUUGUAGACGUGGGCGAUCUCUGGGACAAGGGGAUCAUCUGGGUUGGGGUCAGUGAGAAGAGAGCUGAUGGAUAGGAGGACCUUUGAUAUGGUCAAUGCUGGGCUCCACUGCUCCUUGAGGAUGUCAAGGCAAAUGCUUCCAUUGGAGUUGAUGUUUGGGUGAUACACCUGCAUCGUCAUUCACUUUUGGAGGCUUAAAAGGGUAGUCAGGGGGGAAAUGGAUGUUAACAAAGAACACCCCACCAGCGUAGGGGCUGUCGCUAGGGCCCAUGAUUGUGGCCUGCCAAUGGAAUAAAUCCUCUCCUGCAGGCCCAGCACUGCAUGAUGUUGGUGGAUCCUUCCGCAAAUCCAUGAGUUCCUUCUGAAUCCUUUUGCUUGCCAU
rnacentral:sRNA from 1 species